UUAACUCAAAUUAGUAUGGAGUUGGAACGUUUGCACUAGGGGUGCUGUUCCAACUGCAUACAAAUUUGAGUUA
rfam:Bombyx mori DNA, contig: Bm_scaf17_contig12755, strain: p50T/Dazao, build 2, whole genome shotgun sequence.